rnacentral:rRNA from 1 species
GGUCAAGCGAACAAGUGCAUGUGGUGGAUGCCUUGGCGAUCACAGGCGAUGAAGGACGCGGUAGCCUGCGAAAAGCUACGGGGAGCUGGCAAACGAGCUUUGAUCCGUAGAUGUCCGAAUGGGGAAACCCACUCCUUUUGGAGUAUCCAUGGCUGAAUACAUAGGCCAUGUGAAGCGAACGCGGUGAACUGAAACAUCUAAGUAACCGCAGGAAAAGAAAUCAACCGAGAUUCCCAAAGUAGUGGCGAGCGAAAUGGGAUGAGCCUUGCACUCUUUAUUUGUAUUGUUAGCCGAACGCUCUGGAAAGUGCGGCCAUAGCAGGUGAUAGCCCUGUAGGCGAAAACAGUAUGAAAAGAACUAGGUGUGCGACAAGUAGGGCGGGACACGUGAAAUCCUGUCUGAAGAUGGGGGACCAUCCUCCAAGGCUAAAUACUCGUGAUCGACCGAUAGUGAACCAGUACCGUGAGGAAAGGCGAAAAGAACCCCGGGAGGGAGUGAAAUAGAUCCUGAAACCGCAUGCAUACAAACAGUCGGAGCCUCGUAAGGGGUGACGGCGUACCUUUGUAUAAUGGGUCAGCGACUUACGUUCAGUAGCAAGCUUAACCGUAUAGGGCAGGCGUAGCGAAAGCGAGUCCGAAUAGGGCGUUCAGUUGCUGGGCGUAGACCCGAAACCAGGUGAUCUAUCCAUGGCCAGGAUGAAGGUGCGGUAACACGUACUGGAGGUCCGAACCCACUAACGUUGAAAAGUUAGGGGAUGAGCUGUGGAUAGGGGUGAAAGGCUAAACAAACCUGGAAAUAGCUGGUUCUCUCCGAAAACUAUUUAGGUAGUGCCUCGUGUCUCACCUUCGGGGGUAGAGCACUGUCAUGGUUGGGGGGUCUAUUGCAGAUUACCCCGCCAUAGCAAACUCCGAAUACCGAAGAGUGCAAUCACGGGAGACAGACAUCGGGUGCUAACGUCCGGUGUCAAGAGGGAAACAACCCAGACCGCCAGCUAAGGUCCCCAAAUAUAGCUAAGUGGGAAACGAAGUGGGAAGGCUAAAACAGUCAGGAGGUUGGCUUAGAAGCAGCCACCCUUUAAAGAAAGCGUAAUAGCUCACUGAUCGAGUCGUCCUGCGCGGAAGAUGUAACGGGGCUAAGCUAUAUACCGAAGCUGCGGAUGCGUGCUUAGCACGCAUGGUAGGAGAGCGUUCCGUAAGCCUGCGAAGGUGCCUUGUAAAGGGUGCUGGAGGUAUCGGAAGUGCGAAUGCUGACAUGAGUAGCGAUAAAGGGGGUGAAAGGCCCCCUCGCCGUAAGCCCAAGGUUUCCUACGCAACGUUCAUCGGCGUAGGGUGAGUCGGCCCCUAAGGCGAGGCAGAAAUGCGUAGCUGAUGGGAAGCAGGUCAAUAUUCCUGCACCAUUGUUAGAUGCGAUGGGGGGACGGAUCGCGGAAGGUUGUCCGGGUGUUGGAAGUCCCGGUCGCUGCAUUGGAGAAGGCGCUUAGGCAAAUCCGGGCGCGGAAUUCAAGGGUGUGGCGCGAGCUCCUUAGGGAGCGAAGCAAUUGGAAGUGGUUCCAAGAAAAGCCUCUAAGCUUCAGUCUAAUGAUGACCGUACCGCAAACCGACACAGGUGGGCGAGAUGAGUAUUCUAAGGCGCUUGAGAGAACUCGGGAGAAGGAACUCGGCAAAUUGGUACCGUAACUUCGGGAUAAGGUACGCCCUUGUAGCUUGACUGGCUUGCGCCAGAAGGGUGAAGGGGUUGCAAUAAACUGGUGGCUGCGACUGUUUAAUAAAAACACAGCACUCUGCAAACACGAAAGUGGACGUAUAGGGUGUGACGCCUGCCCGGUGCCGGAAGAUUAAAUGAUGGGGUGCAAGCUCUUGAUUGAAGUCCCGGUAAACGGCGGCCGUAACUAUAACGGUCCUAAGGUAGCGAAAUUCCUUGUCGGGUAAGUUCCGACCUGCACGAAUGGCGUAACGAUGGCCACACUGUCUCCUCCCGAGACUCAGCGAAGUUGAAGUGUUUGUGAUGAUGCAAUCUACCCGCGGCUAGACGGAAAGACCCCAUGAACCUUUACUGUAGCUUUGCAUUGGACUUUGAACCGAUCUGUGUAGGAUAGGUGGGAGGCUAUGAAACCGGAACGCUAGUUUCGGUGGAGCCGUCCUUGAAAUACCACCCUGGUUUGUUUGAGGUUCUAACCUUGGCCCGUGAUCCGGGUCGGGGACAGUGCAUGGUAGGCAGUUUGACUGGGGCGGUCUCCUCCCAAAGCGUAACGGAGGAGUACGAAGGUACGCUAGGUACGGUCGGAAAUCGUGCUGAUAGUGCAAUGGCAUAAGCGUGCUUAACUGCGAGACCGACAAGUCGAGCAGGUGCGAAAGCAGGUCAUAGUGAUCCGGUGGUUCUGUAUGGAAGGGCCAUCGCUCAACGGAUAAAAGGUACUCUGGGGAUAACAGGCUGAUACCGCCCAAGAGUUCAUAUCGACGGCGGUGUUUGGCACCUCGAUGUCGGCUCAUCUCAUCCUGGGGCUGUAGCCGGUCCCAAGGGUAUGGCUGUUCGCCAUUUAAAGAGGUACGUGAGCUGGGUUUAAAACGUCGUGAGACAGUUUGGUCCCUAUCUGCCGUGGGCGUUGGAUAUUUGAAGGGGGCUGCUCCUAGUACGAGAGGACCGGAGUGGACGAACCUCUGGUGUACCGGUUGUCACGCCAGUGGCAUCGCCGGGUAGCUAUGUUCGGAAGAGAUAACCGCUGAAAGCAUCUAAGCGGGAAACUCGCCUUAAGAUGAGAUAUCCCUGGGGACUAGAUCCCCUUGAAGGGUCGUUCGAGACCAGGACGUUGAUAGGUCAGGUGUGUAAGCGCAGUAAUGCGUUCAGCUAACUGAUACUAAUUGCCCGUAAGGCUUGAUCCU